AAUUCCAUUUGGAGUUAUUUACACCGAUAUUGAAAAAUUGAAAUCAAAAUAUUCAAUUUUAUUCCAAGUAUUUUAUAUUUCGUUAAACAACUCCAAGUUUGCAAAACUAUAAUUUAGUAUUCGUGUAAUAUUUAAGUUUCAAUAUUUUUGGCCACUGACAACAGUAUCCAGGUGCGUGAGCGGGAGUCCUAUACUAGUGGUAAAUUGCUACGUUUGAGAGUGGUCCUAGGCGAUUUUUUUUUGUAACUCAAAACCAAACGCGAAAUUUUUUUUGUUAAAAUUUGGUAUGUUUUCAUAAACUACGGGGUAACGGAUUGAAAGUGUUGAAUUGAGAUUCAAUAAAUUGUAUACUAAAAAAAAAAACUCUCAGUAAUUAUGGUUUCCUUGUAAUUUAUGUAAUUUUUAUCAUCGGGAAAGGUUGAACUUUUUUAUGAAAGAAAACUUCAAAAGCGAAAAGGAACUCAUUCUGAGGCGCUGCUUUACAUCACAAAUUUUAUUUUACGCCAUAUAGAUCUUCUAUCUAACUAUUCAAGUGGUAGAGCAAAACUGUCGUGAGAGGUAAUACAAAUUGAAUAAAUUGCACAUACAUAAUUUUUCAUAAAAAUACU